rnacentral:rRNA from 1 species
CAGCCGCCGCGGGAAUACAGAGGGUGCGAGCGUUAAUCGGAUUUACUGGGCGUAAAGCGUGCGUAGGCGGCUUUUUAAGUCGGAUGUGAAAUCCCUGAGCUUAACUUAGGAAUUGCAUUCGAUACUGGGAAGCUAGAGUAUGGGAGAGGACGGUAGAAUUCCAGGUGUAGCGGUGAAAUGCGUAGAGAUCUGGAGGAAUACCGAUGGCGAAGGCAGCCAUCUGGCCUAAUACUGACGCUGAGGUACGAAAGCAUGGGGAGCAAACAGGAUUAGAUACCCCUGUAGUCCCUGUCUCUUAUAC